UUUUUUUCAAAUCAACCACUGCUUGCUUGGUUUUCUCUUUUUUUGAGAAGGCACCGCUCGCUUGUUGCUAGCUCGUUUAUUAGACUAAGAGCUUGGUUAUGUACCAUAUUGCCCAGGGUGUGUGCCUUGUCCAUUGUAUACUAGUCAUCAAUAUGGUUUUAGACCUUGCUGUUGAUGAUUGUUUUUGCUUAAAUGCUUGUUUGAUUGGCCGAUUUGCCAAGUACAAAACCUGCAUCUGUAGAUCAGACUUGCCUGAUUAUAUUAUAGAGCUGAUAUCCAUUCAAAUACAAUUAACAGAUCACCUAGUGAGACUUGUCGUGUAAUAUGAUAUUUAGGAUAUAUCAUGAUAUAUCUUAGUAAUUUAUAACUGCAAUAGCCAAUCCAGGGCAUUGCCUUUCCUGAAUUUGGCAUGGCAAGGAUUUUUGGAGGUGAUGAAUAGCGAGCCAAUACCAGAAGGAUUGUCGAAUCCUACAGCUAUAUGCUCUUGAAUAUGCAAUAGACGUGAGGUUUCCAGAUAAAUCUGAUGUAUUCAGCUUUGGGGUGUUGUUCCUUGAGAUAGCAAGUGGAUGACGGAACACCAGUUUCUUCAAUGAUGAGCCAUCUUUCAUUCUAGGGUAUGUAAGUUCACUUUGAUCAUUUCCAUUACCUAGUUUUCUGAUAAUUCAAGGUUUGUCAACAGCCGAGGUUUAAUUUCUAAUUUCAUGUCACUACUGAUAUUUCUAGUAUAGAACCUGUGGAACGAUGACAACACUGUGACACUGUUAAAUCAAUGUACAUCAUAUCAUGGCUUUCAACUGGCAAUCGGGAGAUGCAUACAAGUGGGACUAUUGUGUGUGAAAAAAUUUGCAAUUUGUUAGAACUUGUGGCUCAUAUGUUAAUAUGAAGAGGUACUAAGAAGUUCAAGAAAGAGGCCAGAUGCCGAAGCGGAGAGGAGUGGAGGCAUCUGGCCCAUCACCGAUGAUCCAGUGGAGUGGAUUGGGCCGAAGGCCCGUGGGUAGCCCCCCGCAGUAUGGUACGGUACAGUCCAGGGGUAUUUUUGGGAUACAGGCCAAAUACCAGAUUAGGGUUAGAAUAGAGUAGGUAUAAAUAUUCUAUGUCGUAAACCGCUGUUUCAGUUGAUUGAAUAAGAAACGACUGCCGCUCUCGCUCCCGUGGACGUGACCGGUAUUGGGAAGCCACGUAUAUUCUGUGUGUUGAUUUCUUUACUAUUUUCUAUUCGCAUAUCGUGUGUGUGUGUUUCAGUCCUAUACAAUUGAUAGGCCUAACAUAUCAGCAGUCUUUUCUAUGCUAAGCAGAAAAAGUGCAUGUCUUCCCAAGCCAAAGCAGCCUGCAUUUACUCAACCGUCCGGCUUCAGUAGGAAGAUGGUCUUCACGACAAAGCCAUCAUAGGUGUUCUGCAAAUGCUUUUAAACCUACGUUUGUUAAAACCAGAUAGUGUCUGAGAUGUGGAGAUGAUAUCCUUUUAAUUUCUUUCAUGUACAACGGGUAUGUGUUCACGUCAAUUGUAUAUGAGUUGUGCAACUCUGUACAUCGGUUUCGUUUUUAAUAAAAGUAGUAAAGUUUGCAUAUGAGUUGUGCAACUAUG